AUUGAACGCUGGCGGCAUGCCUAACACAUGCAAGUCGAGCGAUUCUCUUCGGAGAAGAGCGGCGGACGGGUGAGUAACGCGUGGGUAACCUGCCCUGUACACACGGAUAACAUACCGAAAGGUAUGCUAAUACGAGAUAAUAUACUUUUAUCGCAUGGUAGAAGUAUCAAAGCUUUUGCGGUACAGGAUGGACCCGCGUCUGAUUAGCUAGUUGGUAAGGUAACGGCUUACCAAGGCGACGAUCAGUAGCCGACCUGAGAGGGUGAUCGGCCACAUUGGAACUGAGACACGGUCCAAACUCCUACGGGAGGCAGCAGUGGGGAAUAUUGCACAAUGGGCGAAAGCCUGAUGCAGCAACGCCGCGUGAGCGAUGAAGGCCUUCGGGUCGUAAAGCUCUGUCCUCAAGGAAGAUAAUGACGGUACUUGAGGAGGAAGCCCCGGCUAACUACGUGCCAGCAGCCGCCGUAAAAC
rnacentral:rRNA from 1 species